rnacentral:rRNA from 1 species
AGAGUUUGAUCCUGGCUCNGGAAAUGAACGCUAGCUACAGGCUUAACACAUGCAAGUCGAGGGGCAGCAUCAUCAAAGCUUGCUUUGAUGGAUGGCGACCGGCGCACGGGUGAGUAACGCGUAUCCAACCUGCCCACCACUUGGGGAUAACCUUGCGAAAGUAAGACUAAUACCCAAUGAUAUCUCUAGAAGACAUCUGAAAGAGAUUAAAGAUUUAUCGGUGAUGGAUGGGGAUGCGUCUGAUUAGCUUGUUGGCGGGGUAACGGCCCACCAAGGCAACGAUCAGUAGGGGUUCUGAGAGGAAGGUCCCCCACAUUGGAACUGAGACACGGUCCAAACUCCUACGGGAGGCAGCA